rnacentral:tRNA from 1 species
CCCAGAAAGUUAACUUAACACUUAGGUCGUGACCCUAAAUAAAAGAGUAUAUCUCUUCUGGGCU